GAUGAACGCUGGCGGCGUGCUUAACACAUGCAAGUCGAACGAAGCACUUUAUUUGAUUUCCUUCGGGACUGAGUAUUUUGUGACUGAGUGGCGGACGGGUGAGUAACGCGUGGGUAACCUGCCUUGUACAGGGGGAAAACAGUUGGAAACGGCUGCUAAUACCGCAUAAGCGCACGGCAUCGCAUGAUGCAGUGUGAAAAACUCCGGUGGUAUAAGAUGGACCCGCGUUGGAUUAGCUAGUUGGUGCGGUAACGGCCCACCAAGGCGACGAUCCAUAGCCGGCCUGAGAGGGUGACCGGCCACAUUGGGACUGAGCCACGGCCCAAACUCCUACGGGAGGCAGCAGUGGGGAAUAUUGCACAAUGGGCGAAAGCCUGAUGCAGCUACGCCGCGUGAGCGAAGAAGUAUUUCGGUAUGUAAAGCUCUAUCAGCAGGGAAGAUAAUGACGGUACCUGACUAAGAAGCACCGGCUAACUACGUG
rnacentral:rRNA from 1 species